CCCUUAGAUGUUCUGGGCAGCACGCGCGCUACAAUGGUCUUCGCAAACGGAUGCAUUCUCGAAGGAGAAUGCCAAUCUUGGAAUCUAUGCCUUGGUCGGGACAGUUGCUUGCAAUUUUUCGACUCGAACCAGGAAUUCCUUGUAAUCGUGAUUCAUCACAUCACGAUGAAUACGUCCCUGCCCUUUGUACACACCGCCCGUCGCUCCUACCGAUCGAAGAGUUAGGUGAAUUGUUUUGAUCGAUAAGAUUUGACUAUGGUCAAGUCUCGUUGUGAAAUUCUGUGAAUCUGACUGUUUAGAGGAAGGAAAAGUCGUAACA
rnacentral:rRNA from 1 species